rnacentral:rRNA from 1 species
UUGGAGGGCAAGUCUGGUGCCAGCAGCCGCGGUAAUUCCAGCUCCAAUAGCGUAUAUUAAAGUUGUUGCAGUUAAAAAGCUCGUAGUUGAAUUUCGGGGUCAGUAGGUUGGUCAUGCCACUGGUAUGUACUGGUCUCACUGAUUCCUCCUUCCUGAUGAGCCGUAAUGCCAUUAAUUUGGUGUUGCGAGGAAUCUGGACCGUUACUUUGAAAAAAUUAGAGUGUUUAAAGCAAGCUAACGCUUGAAUACAUUAGCAUGGAAUAAUGAAAUAGGACGUUCGAUCCUAUUUUGUUGGUCUCUAGGAUUGACGUAAUGAUUAAUAGGGAUAGUUGGGGGCAUUAGUAUUCAAUUGUCAGAGGUGAAAUUCUUGGAUUUAUUGAAGACUAACUACUGCGAAAGCAUUUGCCAAGGAUGUUUUCAUUAAUCAAGAACGAAAGUUAGGGGAUCGAAGACGAUCAGAUACCGUCGUAGUCUUAACCAUAAACUAUGCCGACUAGGGAUCGGAUGAUGUUAAUUUUUUAAUGACUCAUUCGGCGCCUUACGGGAAAC